rnacentral:rRNA from 1 species
GAUGAACGCUGGCGGCGUGCCUAAUACAUGCAAGUCGAGCGAACGGACGAGAAGCUUGCUUCUCUGAUGUUAGCGGCGGACGGGUGAGUAACACGUGGAUAACCUACCUAUAAGACUGGGAUAACUUCGGGAAACCGGAGCUAAUACCGGAUAAUAUUUUGAACCGCAUGGUUCAAAAGUGAAAGACGGUCUUGCUGUCACUUAUAGAUGGAUCCGCGCUGCAUUAGCUAGUUGGUAAGGUAACGGCUUACCAAGGCAACGAUGCAUAGCCGACCUGAGAGGGUGAUCGGCCACACUGGAACUGAGACACGGUCCAGACUCCUACGGGAGGCGGCAGUAGGGAAUCUUCCGCAAUGGGCGAAGGCCUGACGGAGCAACGCCGCGUGAGUGAUGAAGGUCUUCGGAUCGUAAAACUCUGUUAUUAGGGAAGAACAUAUGUGUAAGUAACUGUGCACAUCUUGACGGUACCUAAUCAGAAAGCCACGGCUAACUACGUG